UCCGCGCGUCGCUCGCAAUUGUUGUCCGCCUAAACCGAUUACUAUUAUUAAUUGACAGCUAUAAAAACCAGGAUGACAGAUAAUAGAAAGAAUUUAAUGGAGUCGUGACACGUGUGGAAAGAAAAUUAUUUCUCUUGUUUUAUGAAUUAAAUUUCCAUUUUCAUUGAUAUUCAUAUAAUUGUUAUACAUAUAAUGUUCAUAUCUCUAGUUUUUGAAUUGAUACUCAAACAUACUAAACUUAUAACAAAAGAAAUUAAUGCUACGUCUAUACUUUUAUAAAUCUAUGUGACUCACAAAAAAAAAUAAUAAAGAAAUUAAUCAAAAAUAUGUCUCAUAAGCUGUCAACUGUCAUGUUGUAAUUAUCCAGGUUUUCGCUAAAGAAACAUUAACAUAUAUGAUGGGACAGAGUGAGAACUUAAAAAAGUUAAUCUUGUAUUAAAAUCGGUUCAGGGGUUUGAAAAGAAAACACAUGUGAGUAGAAAAAAAAAUAAAAUUGUUGUCCUAGUAUAGUGGAAAAUAGCAAGCUUAAAAAUUUAACAGUUAAAAAAAAGUUUGCGAUUAUUUGUAAUAUUUUAGAAUGAAAAACGUUUUACUGUCAAUGUUUCAUUAUAGGAUUCAAGAGACGUAAUAAAAAAAAAUAUUAAAAUUAAUUUAAAGUUUGCCCUGUUCUUACUUUCUGUAAAAAAUAUUUUCACUGCUACUUGUAGUUCAGAAAUCUACAACUUCAAAAUUUUUAUAUUUUUACUUAAAAAAUAUACAAAAAACAGAAUUUCCAAAGUAGGUUGAUUAGAUGUUGAUUGUUUGAUAUGAGAAUUCAAUAUUUAUUUGUAAACAAUGCAGUUCGCACAAAUAAAAACAAAAUGACAAAAAGUAUGUUUACUUAACUGUCGGUAUACGUAGUUCAGUUGAGCGUUGAUGUAAUAUAUUUUGCAUUCGUUAAAAAUAAGGAUGUAAAUAUCAGGAAUAAAAAGGUUCACAGGUCCUCAUUAGUCACUCGUACUAAGAUAAACAGAUAAACAUGCGUUUUCUCCAUAUAUAUAAUUCACAUUAAUCGUGUUAGGACUAAAGAUGAAAAAAUUUUAUUUAAAUAAUGCUUAUAAAACGAAACAAAUUGUUAUCUGAUUCUGAACUAUUUUAUUAAACAUAACAAAUUAUAAUGAGGCCAUGGUAAGUACGAACAUACAUCCUCAGAAGCAAUAAAACUAUGACUCUAAUAUUUACGCUUUUAAUACAACAGGCAAAGUGAGUAAGCAAUCAACGAAGUGACAAGUAAUAAAUAAGUAAGUAGUUACCCACGACUGGGAAAUAAACGUAAGAUUGCGGUCACUUGAAUUUUCAUGUAGCACCUAAAUACUAUAAAUACCCCCACGUGUAAGUGAGAUUUGAUUAUAACACGGAUAUAAAGCAUCACCUCAUCAAAUAAACAGUCCAAGGGCUGGCAUUGACGCGCCGUGAGCCGUCCAAAAUGGUUACCUAAUAUGAACUAACCUUCCAUCUCAAACGUAACAACCUUGACUUUCAGCGUUUUAUUGUGAUCGCGAUUAUAACGAUAAGGGUCGCUUGACUCUUCCUUAACAAAAUACAUUGUUGCUUACAAUUUAAUUGAACAAGUUAAUACGUAUUAUACGUGAAAAAGAUCAUUAGGGAGCACUUGGUUUAUUAGGUAUUAAAGACAUUUUUGUUAAAAAGAAUUUAAUAUUAUAUAGAAAACAUGAUUUAGAUAAACGUGUUUGGUGCUACUGAAAUCCCAGAGUAGACGACUAGCUCGAAGACAUCCUAAUGUACAGACGGAGUCGUUAAAUACUAGAAAAAAUCUAUUAUUAGUUGCGUGUUUUUGGUCCAUGAAAAGGACAUUACAUCAUCAGGUAAUACAUGGGACAGUUUUAAUGUGUUUCCAGCCAGACUCUUUCAAUGCUUGCCAACAAUUAUAAUGAAGUACCUACUUACGCAAUACAGUGGCUGCUAUAUAAUUUUAUUUUAAUGAAUUCUACAAUAAAAUCUUAUAAACUUCGAAUUCUUCAAAUAAUCAUUCAAAGGAAUAAGAGUCACAGUAUAAGUUUUGAAACAAUCUGACAAUUUAUAACCAUCUGUAUUGUAUAGCAUACACACAAUACGUUAGAGUCGUAAAGUAUUUUUUACUGGUGUUGCGGUCAUGAGAAGGCUUUAAAGCUAUAACAAUAGAUCUUUAGAAAUAUUAUAAUCUACUUACAACAAAAACUAUCCAUAUAUAGAUA